rnacentral:lncRNA from 1 species
GGAUCUGGGAUUCUCUAUGUGGCCCAACCAUGUCAGAGAAGGUUUUUCUGGGAAAUCAGGCAGGGGAAGAAAUUUUGGAGCCUGUAAUAAUUAUACUCUGCCAGAAUCUGAGAAAUUUAGAAGCCCAUUAUUUGUUCUAGUCAUUCAAGGUCAUUUAUAGAAAAGGAGACAUGAACCCUGAUGGGGGCCCUGGAUACUGGAUGGGGAAGGGCACCAGUUUGACAGCAGAUGUGAGGAGAUCUUUGCUGGGAAGGAGGUGAUUUUCUGCUGACUCUUCCCCUGAAGGGAAUCCUGCAAAUUAUUGUUAGUGUGCACUUGUGGAGGAGCAGAGGAAGAAAAAUUACUCUGAGUAUAAAUUCAGCUUUAACUCCAAGAGGCCCAAAGAGACUGCUUCACAAACAUUCAUCAGCAUUAGAGAGUCUCAUGAGGACAUCCCAGAUGUGAAAAAACCCUGGCCUUUUAUUUGUAACCCAGCUGUGAGAACAAAGGUACUGAAGAAAAACAUUUGUGUAGGAAUUUUUGUCAGAGGAAAGGGAAAGAACAAGAUGGUCUGCUGAGCAAGUUAAUGGAGCCAUGAAGAACACAAUGACUGGAGCAAACAUCUCUAAAAGUAACUUUGUUUUAUGAAUCUUGAACAUCUAUUGGUAUUUUCUCUGGACACAUUUGGUUUUGUUUGCUUUUUUUUUUCCAGUACUAAGGAUAGAAUUCAAAACCUUCACACCGAGCUACAUUCCCAAUACUUUUUGUUUUUUAUUUUUUAUUUUUUUGGUACCAGAGAUUGACCUUGGGACCUUGCGCUUGUGAGGCAGGUGCCGGAACCACUGAGCUAAAUCCCUGGCCCUUUCUUUUUUAUGUUGAGCAGGGUAUCAUUAAGUUGUCGAGGCUGGGCUUGAACUUGUGAUUCUCCAGCUUCAGCUUUCCAGAGUACUGAGAUUUCAGGGAUGUGCCAAUAUAUCUGUCCUUGACAGAUUUGAUUUUUAUGUAAAAGUGUACAUUUACUAUGUAUACUUCAUUUACUAUGCUUGCAAUAUAACCCUAGAACAUUCUUUUAAUUUAACCAUUACAGUAAACAGUGUCAUUGUAAGAGCUUGCAUAUUACUUAAAAUUUAUAGCAAAUAGUAGUUUUGAACAAAGUGUUACUAAGGAUAUUUUUUAGUACUGUGGCAAUAAAAUAUUCAAGAAAUUUUAACUUCUGUAAUUUGUAUUUGUAAGUGAUGGCUUCUCAACCCAGAGAGCUUAAAAAUAACUAACAUAUGCUAUACCACCCACUAUUAUAAACACAUUGCAUAUUUGACUCACCGUAUUUCUGAAGCUGUCUUACGAAGUAGAUGCCAUCAAUCAUCCCUAUUUUACAAAUGAAGAAACUGAAGCUCCUAACAGUUUCAGAUUGCUGAAAAGUCCAAGUUCAAAGUCAUCUCUGAAAUUUAAG